GGCACUCUAGCAACCACGGUUGAUGCAUCUGUCUGAAGAACAGAAUAACUCGGUUCGACUCCGAGGGGUGCCACCA
rnacentral:tRNA from 1 species